AUUGCCACAAGUAAAAAUGAGCAAACAGAAUAAAAAAGUCUUCUUAAACUGCAGUGUGUCCUAAUUAAUACACCUAAUUAUCUAAUGCUAAUAAUCUAAUUAUUAGAUGUUGAAAAAUGUGAAUCUUGCUAAUGUUUUUAGACUGAAAAUUGAGUUGUGGUUGCCAGGAAUGGUACAAAUGAUUAUUUAUUUAACACUUUUUUUUUGUUCUUGCAGAAAUCAAAAUAUACCUCCAAAAAAAGUCUGGUAAAGCUCCAGCAAAAGCAUCAGCUUCUAAAAAGAAAGCAACGAGGAAUAAAGGUGAGAAUCUUCUGUUUUUAAAGGAUAAACGUGUUCAGUUAAUCAGCAGAAUAAGAAACGUCACUGAAAUCGUUGAUCACCUCGACUUAACCGAGGAACAAGCGGCGAAAGUGCGAGCAGAGAAGACAGAUCAGGAGAAGAUGAGGAUGCUUCUGGAUUUUAUACAAAGCAGAACUGCUGCAGACAAUCUAGUCUCAGUCUUGUGGGAUCUCGCAAGUGAUGUCAUGCAAGACCUGAUUGACGAGUGAAGAGCCAUGAAUAGAUUCCACGUCUGAUGUAUCACUCUUGAUUUCAUCAAGGAUCAACUUUCAUCCCUUUAUAUUAUAUUAAUUUGAUUUAACUUAAAAUUCUUUCCAUUUAAGCACUAUAUAUUUUAUGAAAAUCAUUUACAGGGUUAGAAAUGUUAGCUAUUAAUGUAGCUAAGUACAAUUUACACUUUUAGUUAAAGUUAGUUAAAGCUACUCUUACCAGCUAGCUGCUCUUUCAGACAUUCAGCAGUCAAUUGUGGUCAGAGAAUUUAGCACUAAUAGGUAGGAUCUGAUUUCUGAAUUGCCAUAAACAUGUUUUUACUGACAAAAACACUGGACUACAAUUGCCACUAUUUCUAUUGCAUUUAGAGAACAUCGGGAAUCAGGGAAUGUUGUAGAAAAAAAUUUCAAAGGCAUUAAAUUCUGUUACAAAAAGUACCAGAAAGAGGCUGUACUUUUUCUGAUGGUGCUAAAGACCAUAUCAUAGACCACAGCACAACAGGUAUGAAUAAAAAAGAAUAAUUACAGAAACAUGAGGAACAGGUGUGCAGAGGUGGGAAGGGACUAAGGAUCGUUGUGGGGCAAAUACAUAAGUACCCUCUAGCUUUGUGAUAACUUAGCCUUCCCCUAAACCAUAAUGUUGAACAAUCUUUGCUUUCUGGUCAUUUGAGGCCUUCGUGUUGCCACUCUUCAGAGGAGAGACAAAGAGAACAACAGCUUGUAACCGACCACCUUAAAUACCUUUUCUCAUGAUCAGAUGCACAUGUCUAAGAAGUU